UUGAAUUCGUAGUCAUAUGCUUGUCUCAAAGAUUAAGCCAUGCAUGUCUAAGUAUAAGCAAUCUAUACGGUGAAACUGCGAAUGGCUCAUUAAAUCAGUUAUCGUUUAUUUGAUAGUACCCUACUACUUGGAUAACCGUGGUAAUUCUAGAGCUAAUACAUGCUAAAAACCCCGACUUACGAAGGGGUGUAUUUAUUAGAUAAAAAGCCAAUGCCCUUCGGGGCUCCUUGGUGAUUCAUAAUAACUUAACGAAUCGCAUGGCCUUGCGCCGGCGAUGGUUCAUUCAAAUUUCUGCCCUAUCAACUUUCGAUGGUAGGAUAGUGGCCUACCAUGGUUUCAACGGGUAACGGGGAAUUAGGGUUCUAUUCCGGAGAGGGAGCCUGAGAAACGGCUACCACAUCCAAGGAAGGCAGCAGGCGCGCAAAUUACCCAAUCCCGACACGGGGAGGUAGUGACAAUAAAUACUGAUACAGGGCUCUUUAGGGUCUUGUAAUUGGAAUGAGUACAAUUUAAAUCCCUUAACGAGGAACAAUUGGAGGGCAAGUCUGGUGCCAGCAGCCGCGGUAAUUCCAGCUCCAAUAGCGUAUAUUAAAGUUGUUGCAGUUAAAAAGCUCGUAGUUGAACCUUGGGCCUGGCUGGCCGGUCCGCCUCACCGCGUGCACUGGUCCGGCCGGGCCUUUCCUUCUGGCUAGCCACAUGCCCUUAAUUGGGUGUGUUGGGGAACCAGGACUUUUACUUUGAAAAAAUUAGAGUGUUCAAAGCAGGCCUAUGCUCGAAUACAUUAGCAUGGAAUAAUAGAAUAGGACGUGUGGUUCUAUUUUGUUGGUUUCUAGGACCGCCGUAAUGAUUAAUAGGGAUAGUCGGGGGCAUCAGUAUUCAAUUGUCAGAGGUGAAAUUCUUGGAUUUAUUGAAGACUAACUACUGCGAAAGCAUUUGCCAAGGAUGUUUUCAUUAAUCAGUGAACGAAAGUUAGGGGAUCGAAGACGAUCAGAUACCGUCGUAGUCUUAACCAUAAACUAUGCCGACUAGGGAUCGGGCGAUGUUAAUUUUAUGACUCGCUCGGCACCUUACGAGAAAUCAAAG
rnacentral:rRNA from 1 species